rnacentral:lncRNA from 1 species
GUAGCGGGCAACUGGAGGCGGAGUUGCGGGGCGGGGACGUCCAACCAGAUGAUUCGGGAGGCGGGACUCGAGAGAGAGAUCCUCUACAAGGGGCGGGGUUGAGUCAGUUUCUAGCUUUCAGACAGGGGCUCAGGGGUGGCGCCUGCGCGCAGGAUUCGGGGGCCGGGACCCCAACUAUUUGAGACCCUCUCGGGCUUCCGUGAAGGAGGGUCGCGCGAGCCAGCGAGGGGUCUCGGCCUUGAGCGGAGCCGAGCCACGCGCUGCCUUCGCCCAGGUCUCCUCUUCACCAUGCCAUUUCUUGAAAAAGAGGGUCCAAGAAAUUGAUGCUUUAAGGACAGAAAACAGGAAGUUAAAAAAUGCGAACUCAAGGCUUCGAUAUAAGACAAAGGAUUGGGCAUUAAAGAAAGAAGAAUAUGAAAAUGAAAUUGAGAGGCUGUCAAGUGAGAUAUCAAAUUAUUUAAAUGUCACCAAUUUUUGGUAUCAAGACACAGAGCUUCUUAAUGAUGAACAUAAUAAUAUACCAAGGGAACAGGCAAACAAUGUAAGCACUCAGACAGAGGGCGCCCUUGGACCAGUAAAAAGCGUCACUGUGAGGAAUGUUACAACACAAACUGGAGAAGAUGAUACAAGUUUCUUUUCUUUUUUCAUCUAAUCCAGACACACAAGUGAAGAACCCUUAUUACAGGACGAAUAUGAACAAUAGAAGAGCAGUUAACUAUUUUUAAAGGCCUGGACAACAGAUUGUUUUAUGUUGUUUCAAGUUUGUCUUCUCAUUGAAUUACUCAAUUCUAUGAAUGA